rnacentral:sRNA from 2 species
CCUAUUUCCUAUGUCAUGGACUCCUGGUGAGAUGGAUAGAUGAUCCUCGCCGGAUCAGGCCAAGCGCCCGCUGGCUAGGUUUCACUUUACCGCUCUUCCGCGCGGCAGAGCCGUAAACGGGCCGCUCCCGAACCCAAAAAAGGGACCCAUAUCCAAAAUCCCACUCCUGUGAAUACAAAAUAUCCUUUCUUUUUCGGGCCGCUUUCGGGAUAUAUACUCCUGUUUGAGGUGAAUUGCCCUUUCCCCCCGACGGCUCUCACCUCAUUUUCGAAUGACAAUCCCGCUAUCAACAGAAAUUCGAUAGCCCCCAGCCAGAUAGAAGCCGCCCCCCCCCAAAAUUCAGUGAGAUCACAUACUUUCAACACAAAUAAAAAACCAUA